UAUAUUUUAGUGUAUUUAGCAUUAAAGAUUUUGAUUCUUUAAGAUUUAAUUAAUAAUUAAAAGAUAUAA
rnacentral:tRNA from 1 species